rnacentral:rRNA from 1 species
AAUGAACGCUGGCGGCAGGCCUAACACAUGCAAGUCGAACGAGGCAGCAAUGCCUAGUGGCGGACGGGUGAGUAACGCGUGGGAACGUGCCCCUUGGUACGGAAUAGCCCUGGGAAACUGGGAGUAAUACCGUAUGUGGUCGAGAGACGAAAGAUUUAUCGCCAAGGGAUCGGCCCGCGUUGGAUUAGGUAGUUGGUGGGGUAAUGGCCUACCAAGCCGACGAUCCAUAGCUGGUUUGAGAGGAUGAUCAGCCACACUGGGACUGAGACACGGCCCAGACUCCUACGGGAGGCAGCAGUGGAGAAUCUUAGACAAUGGGGGAAACCCUGAUCUAGCCAAGCCGCGUGAUCGAUGAAGGCCUUAGGGUUGUAAAGAUCUUUCAGUGGGGAAGAUAAUGACGGUACCCGCAGAAGAAGCCCCGGCUAACUCCGUGCCAGCCGCCGCCGUAA